ACGCUGGCGGCAGGCCUAACACAUGCAAGUCGAGCGGUAGCACGGGAGAGCUUGCUCUCUGGGUGACGAGCGGCGGACGGGUGAGUAAUGUCUGGGAAACUGCCUGAUGGAGGGGGAUAACUACUGGAAACGGUAGCUAAUACCGCAUGACCUCGCAAGAGCAAAGUGGGGGACCUUCGGGCCUCACGCCAUCGGAUGUGCCCAGAUGGGAUUAGCUAGUAGGUGGGGUAAUGGCUCACCUAGGCGACGAUCCCUAGCUGGUCUGAGAGGAUGACCAGCCACACUGGAACUGAGACACGGUCCAGACUCCUACGGGAGGCAGCAGUGGGGAAUAUUGCACAAUGGGCGCAAGCCUGAUGCAGCCAUGCCGCGUGUGUGAAGAAGGCCUUAGGGUUGUAAAGCACUUUCAGCGAGGAGGAAGGCGUUGUAGUUAAUAGCUGCAACGAUUGACGUUACUCGCAGAAGAAGCACCGGCUAACUCCGUGCCAGCAGCCGCGGUAAUACGGAGGGUGCAAGCGUUAAUCGGAAUUACUGGGCGUAAGGCGCACGCAGGCGGUUUGUUAAGUCAGAUGUGAAAUCCCCGAGCUUAACUUGGGAACUGCAUUUGAAACUGGCAGCUAGAGU
rnacentral:rRNA from 1 species